GACGAACGCUGGCGGCGUGCCUAAUACAUGCAAGUCGAACGAAGCUGUUUUAACUGGUGCUUGCACCGACUUAAACAACUGAGUGGCGAACGGGUGAGUAACACGUGGGUAACCUGCCCCAAAGCGGGGGAUAACAUUUGGAAGCAGAUGCUAAUCCCGCAUAAUCACAGAAACCACAUGGUUUCUGCGUCAAAGAUGGUUUCGGCUAUCACUUUUGGAUUGACCCGCGGCGGAUUAGCUAGUUGGUAAGGUAAUGGCUUACCAAGGCGAUGAUACGUAGCCGAACUGAGAGGUUGAUCGGCCACAUUGGGACUGAGACACGGCCCAAACUCCUACGGGAGGCAGCAGUAGGGAAUCUUCCACAAUGGACGAAAGUCUGAUGGAGCAACGCCGCGUGAGGGAAGAAGGUUUUCGGAUCGUAAAACUCUGUUGUCAGAGAAGAACGUGUGCGAGAGUAACUGUUCGUGCAGUGACGGUAUCUGGCCAGAAAGCCACGGCUAACUACGUGCCAGCCGCCGCCGUAA
rnacentral:rRNA from 1 species